rnacentral:misc_RNA from 1 species
UCUUGCUUACGCAAGCAGUAUCGUCUGACACGUAUAACAGACAACGGGGGUUGCGCUCGUUAAUCCACUUAAGGAAACCAUUCAAAUGACGAGCUGACGACAGCCGUGCAGCACCUGUCCAGAACCCUCGAAGGCGGCCCUAUUUCUAGGGUUUGCAUCUGGAUUUCAAGCCUUGGUGAGGUUCCUCGCUUAGAGUCGAAUUAAACCACAUGAUCCACUGCUUGUGCGAAUUCCCGGCUAUUCCUUUGAGUUUUAAUCUUGCGAUCGUACUUCCCAGGCGGCAGACUUAACGCGUUAGCUUCGCCACCGGAAGGGUCGAUGCUCCCAAUGGCUAGUCUGCAUAGUUUAGGGCGUGGAAUA